rnacentral:rRNA from 1 species
CUCACCUGCCGAAGCAACUAGCCCUGAAAAUGGAUGGCGCUCUAGCGUCGUGCCUAUACCGGGCCGUCAACGGCAAAGUGGGCUGCGCCCGUCCGGCUUCGCCGGGCCGGCUCGGCCGUUAAGCCUUGACGAGUAGGAGGUGCGCGGCGGUGUGCGCAGAAGGGUCUGGGCGUGAGCCUGCCUGGAGCCGCCGUUGGUGCAGAUCUUGGUGGUAGUAGCAAAUACUCUAGCGAGGGCCUGGAGGGCUGAUGUGGAGAAGGGUUUCUUGUGAACAGCCGUUGCACAAGAGUCAGUCGAACCUAAGCCCUAGGAGAAAUCCGAUGUUGAUGGGCAGCAAUAUUACGGCAGACCUUAGGCACGCUGGGCGUCGAAAGACGACCGGCUCGCCGAUGGCGUGUCGACUGCUCCCGUCGGGCGAAAGGGAAUCCGGUUCCUAUUCCGGAACCCGGCUGCGGAACCGUAACUUCGCGGGCACUCGCCUGCGAGCGCUCGUCGGGGUAACCCAACAUGGCCCGGAGACGCCGGCGGGAGGUCUGGGAAGAGUUGUCUUUUCUUUAUAAGCGUUCGAGUUCCCUGGAAUCCUAUAGCAGGGAGAUAGGGUUUGGAACGCGAAGAGCACCGCAGUUGCGGCGGUGUCUGGACCUUCCCCCCGGACCUUGAAAAUCCGGGUGCGGGCUACGCGGAAAUCUCGCGCCGGAUCGUACCCAUAUCCGCAGCAGGUCUCCAAGGUUAAGAGCCUCUAGUCGAUAGAAUAAUGUAGGUAAGGGAAGUCGG